GUGGCUGGAUGGUUCGGCGCCGAUGGGGUGAGGAUUAGCCCUACAUGAGGA
rnacentral:snoRNA from 1 species